rnacentral:rRNA from 1 species
GAAAUUUUUUCAGGUGAGACCUGCCCACUGCUCUAAGUAAACGGCCGCAGUACUCUGACUGUGCUAAGGUAGCAUAAUCAGUUGGCUUUUAAAUGGAGUCGGGAAUGAAUGGAUUAAUAGGGGUAAGCUGUCUCUUUUGUAUUUUAUUGAAUUUAAUUUAGUGGGUGAAAAUACCCACAAAUAGAAAAAAGACGAGAAGACCCUAGGAGUUUUUACUACAUUUUAAUCUUUUAACUAACGUUUUUGUUGGGGCAACAUAGGAACAAAUGAAAUUUCCUUUAUUUAACCUGCCGACUAUGUAUAACAGAGAAAACUACCCUAGGGAUAACAGCGUAAUUCUUAAAGAGUUUGCGACCUCGAUGUUGGACUAGGAAUUUGCUUGGUUAGCCGSCAAGUAAAGGUGUUCUG